rnacentral:rRNA from 1 species
CCUACGGGAGGCAGCAGUCGGGAAUAUUGGACAAUGGGCGCAAGCCUGAUCCAGCAAUACCGCGUGUGUGAAGAAGGCCUGCGGGUUGUAAAGCACUUUCAGUUGGGAAGAUAAUGACGUUACCAACAGAAGAAGCACCGGCUAACUCCGUGCCAGCAGCCGCGGUAAU